rnacentral:rRNA from 1 species
UACGUAGGGUGCGAGCGUUGUCCGGAAUUAUUGGGCGUAAAGAGCUUGUAGGCGGUUUGUCGCGUCUGCUGUGAAAAUCCGGGGCUCAACCCCGGACUUGCAGUGGGUACGGGCAGACUGGAGUGUGGUAGGGGAGACUGGAAUUCCUGGUGUAGCGGUGGAAUGCGCAGAUAUCAGGAGGAACACCGAUGGCGAAGGCGGGUUGCUGGGCCGACACUGACGCUGAUGCGCGAAAGCCAGGGGAGCGAACGGG